UGGGGAAUAUUGGACAAUGGGGGCAAACCCCUGAUCCAGCCAUGCCGCGUGUGUGAAGAAGGCCUUUUGGUUGUAAAGCACUUUAAGCAGGGAGGAGAGGCUAAUGGUUAAUACCCAUUAGAUUAGACGUUACCUGCAGAAUAAGCACCGGCUAACUCUGUGCCAGCAGCCGCGGUAAUACAAGGGUGCGAGCGUUAAUCGGAAUUACUGGGCGUAAAGCGAGUGUAGGUGGCUCAUAAGUCACAUGUNAAAUCCCCGGGCUUAACCUGGGAACUGCAUGUGAUACUGGUGGUGCUAGAAUAUGUGAGAGGGGAAGUAGAAUUUCCAGGUGUAGCGGUGAAAUGCGUAGAGGAUCUGGAGGAAUACCCGAUGGCGAAGGCAGCUUCCUGGCAUAAUAUUGACACUGAGAUUCGAAAGCGUGGUAGCAAACAGGAUUAGAUACCCUGGUAGUCCACGCCGUAAACGAUGUCUACUAGCCGUUGGGGGUCCUUGAGACUUUAGUGGCGCAGUUAACGCG
rnacentral:rRNA from 1 species